GACGAACGCUGGCGGCGUGCUUAACACAUGCAAGUCGAACGGAAAGGCCCUGCUUUUGUGGGGUUCUCGAGUGGCGAACGGGUGAGUAACACGUGAGUAACCUGCCCUUGACUUUGGGAUAACUUCAGGAAACUGGGGCUAAUACCGGAUAGGAGCUCCUGCUGCAUGGUGGGGGUUGGAAAGUUUCGGCGGUUGGGGAUGGACUCGCGGCUUAUCAGCUUGUUGGUGGGGUAGUGGCUUACCAAGGCUUUGACGGGUAGCCGGCCUGAGAGGGUGACCGGGCACAUUGGGACUGAGAGACGGCCCAGACUGGUACGGGAGGCAGCAGUGGGAAAUAUUGCACAAUGGGCGGAAGCCUGAUGCAGCAACGCCGCGUGCGGGAUGACGGCCUUCGGGUUGUAAACCGCUUUCGCCUGUGACGAAGCGUGAGUGACGGUAAUGGGUAAAGAAGCACCGGCUAACUACGUG
rnacentral:rRNA from 1 species